rnacentral:tRNA from 1 species
GAGAGAGGCAGGCAGGCACCGGAGACUGCUAAUUACCGGCACCCUGGUUGGACCCCAGGGCUCACUCG